AUUGAACGCUGGCGGCAGGCCUAACACAUGCAAGUCGAGCGAGCGGCGGACGGGUGAGUAAUGUAUGGGGACUGCCCGAUAGAGGGGGAUAACUACUGGAAACGGUAGCUAAUACCGCAUACUAUCGGAUAACCCAUAUGGGACUAGCUAGUAGGUGAGGUAAUGGCUCACCUAGGCGACGAUCCCUAGCUGGUCUGAGAGGAUGAUCAGCUAACAGGGGACAGAGACACGGCCCAGACUCCUGCGGGGGCAGCAGUGGGGAAUAUUGCACAAUGGGGGCAAGCCUGAUGCAGCCAUGCCGAGUGUAGGAAGAAAGCCCUAGGGUUGUAAAGUACUUUCAGUCGGGAGGCGUUACCAACAGAAGAAGCACCGGCUAACUCCGUGCCAGCCGCCGCGGUAAUUC
rnacentral:rRNA from 1 species